AUGAAGCUUAUUAUAAACAAUAUUGAAGUUCUAAAAAUGCAAUUUUAAUGGAUGAUUCGAUGAUGUCUAGACCAAUGUAUCAUAAUAGUUUGAUAUAGAGAAUUAUUACUUUGGCUAUAAAUGAAAGAUGCAUACUCGUUAUGCUUAUGACUUCUGAUAGAUACUACUCAUAUCAAGUUUACUGGGAUUUUAGAUGUCCAGAUAUAUUCAUUUCCUAUGAGAUUUUUGGAUGGGCUCCACAAGAAGCUAAAAUGCAGAUGGUUACCGAGUACUUCAGUCAGUCAGAGGUGCUCGGGCCAAACCCUCGACAUCUGUUUCAACUUUACGCGCUCGAACAAAGCAGCUAUUACCAGAAGGUCCUCGAAGAAAAGGAUAGCACAUUCGAGGAUAUUGUCGAUGCAUAUUUGGCAUUUUUGAAGGUUACUGUGGUGAAUCCUGCCAUGGAUAAAGCACUGGAAUUCCUGCAAAAGCUUGCCAGUGAUGCAAGAAAUGGAAAAAUCCCAAAAAAACAGAUUAUGUUUUGGUUCUCCUUGGAGGCAUCCUACAAAAAGAGACGACCCUACUCUGUGCCAGCAAAGGGCAAAGCUUCAACUGCUGGAUUUUGUUCAGUCUCUAGUAAAUACCGAAUUUGGGGUAAAUUACCUAGGUGAUUGUAGCUUUUAGAUAUUUGAUGAUCCAUGCACUGUUGCAUUAUUAGAGGUUGGUUUGCUCUAUGCUCAACGCGACCCAUCAUUCAUUCGUCCCAUAUCUGAAGGUAUUCAGAGACGUCUUGUGAGAUGGCAUGUCCAGGAACACAUGAAAAUGAGUUUACAGAACCUGCUCCAGUUUCUGUGGCAGCGAAUUAUACGUGGCCGUAGUUACCGUCAUUUGAUGUUUUCAAGUGGGCUACAAAUAACAAAAACGGUCAUCAGUAUGUGUUGUCCUUAAAAUCAACAUAUCUCCUAUGUUUGUUUAAAUUUUGUGCAACAACAGAUACUCAAAAACCUGAGUGCUCAAGGGGAUUGGCACAGUUUUAAAUACUGCAUGGGAUCUUGAACCAGAGACAGAUUUUGAAUUUUUGGUGCUUAGGAAAUACUUGUUUGCGACAGUUGCUGCAAGUUUGAGUUUUCUAGAGGCUGUUACCUUAAUUACACUACCUACGUAGGUGGUGGACAUUCGCUGCACCACAGAUAUAUCUCAAGCUCAAAUGUGAGCAAAACAAUAUAUGAUUUUCAUUUGUUUUUGUUGUUUAUAUCUUGAUUCUUGCCUUAGUUAUGGGGGAUUUUGGUUGCAAUCAUGGCCUUCUGGAUUCCAAGAGAGACAUAGCAUAAACAAAUAAAACUGUAAGAUCCUCCUCCAUUGGACAAUUUAUCAGUACUUCUAGUCAUGUAUUUACGAUGACCACUCAUUUCAUUCCUUGAUUUGGGAGUGUAUGUUUCUUGGAUAGCACGAUAAUUGUGUUCCAAGUUCACUAGAUAAACACAGCUCAAUUUUGAGCAUCACGCCCCUCAUAAAAUGAUUUUAUUUUUUAUCAGUGAAGUUCUUGCUGCUAGGUUGCUCUGGAACAACCCUUUUGGCUUUGACUGGUGUUGAAGAAUCCAUUAUCCAGAUACAUCUGGCGAAUGAAGAAUUGUCUGUCUUUUUUAUAUGAAGAGGCGAGUGUGACCAUCUCGUCUUUCAUGGCGUACCCUAGUUAUUUGGUUGAACAAUUUAUAACUUCUCAGUAUCUCUCAACAUAUGAGUAUGUAAUAGCAAAGAGGACAGAUGGUAGAAUAGAUGGCACGGUUCUGUCACCUGAAAUGUUUGUUUAUAGGUUUACUCAUCGCAGGAGCAUAAACAAAUUACUAGUGUUUGAUGCUCUCAUGUUUAUAUGAACUAGCUAUCAACUUACCAGCAAACU